GAUUGUUCUCAGGGCGGGGCGAAAUUCCCCACCGGCGGUUAUAGCCCGCGAGCGGCCCCAGUUGGGGUGUCCAGCAGAUACUGGUGAAAUUCCAGAGCCGACGGUCAUAGUCCGGAUGAGAGAGAGCUUCG
rnacentral:ncRNA from 1 species